ACCUGGUUAUAACCUGAGACAUUACCUGGUUAUAACCUGGUUAUAUCCUGAGACAUUACCUGGUUAUAACCUGGUUAUAACCUGGUUAUAUCCUGAGACAUUAC